UUCUAUAACAUUUAAAUCCAUUUCCCUUAUAUUAUUUUAUCGUUUUCUCUAUGAAAAAGUCGACUUCUUGUAGGUCAGCCGACUGACAAACAUACUUUUCAAUCAUCAGUUUUUGGUGUUUAUAUAUACAAUCCUAAAAAACCAAUCAUAAACACCAACAUAAAACUAGUUCACGUAUUUUUUAUUUAUUUUUGUUCUUUCAAGAGAGAACAUGAGUUUGUUCAUUAAGCCUGUUUCAAUCUUCUUGAUGUUUAUUUUGAUGAUAAGUUGUGGGUUCGAGUCUCAUCAUCAGUCGAUUAUAUUUGCACAAGCAAGACCACUUUCGCUCGACCCUCAACAAAGAUAUGCAAGGAUUUUCAAUACACUUGGAUUGACAUGUAAUUGUUGUGAUAGUCUUGGUGAAAAUUGCACAAGUAGUUGGAAUGGAACAUGCCCUAAUCUCCAAUGCAAUCCUUGGAGAUUAAAUUAAAGGAAAAUGAUGGGUGUUGGUGAAUAACCUAUCAUAGGUGCUGCUAAAGAGCUAAUAUAAGCAUUUCUUGGUUGCUCUCUUCACAAAGUUUUCAAAUUAAAGAUUAACGUAUACAUUUGAUAAACUUCAGGAUAGUACUCUAGCAGCAUAUACGUUAUCCCAUGUCCAAUUUUGUCAUAUUUGUAAUACUUAGCCCUCAUUUGGCUGUAAAUAAAAGCAUGUACAGUGACAAUUAA